rnacentral:rRNA from 1 species
GAUGAACGCUGGCGGCGUGCCUAAUACAUGCAAGUCGAGCGAACGGACGAGAAGCUUGCUUCUCUGAUGUUAGCGGCGGACGGGUGAGUAACACGUGGAUAACCUACCUAUAAGACUGGGAUAACUUCGGGAAACCGGAGCUAAUACCGGAUAAUAUUUUGAACCGCAUGGUUCAAAAGUGAAAGACGGUCUUGCUGUCACUUAUAGAUGGAUCCGCGCUGCAUUAGCUAGUUGGUAAGGUAACGGCUUACCAAGGCAACGAUGCAUAGCCGACCUGAGAGGGGAACGGGCCAAACUGGAAUUGAGAAACGGCCCAAACCCCUAGGGGGGGACGAAGGAGGGAAUCUUCCGCAAGGGGGGAAAGCUUGACGGAGCAACGCCGGGGGAGGGAUGAAGGUCUUCGGAUCGUAAAACUUUGUUAUUGGGGAAGAACAUAUGUGUAAGUAACUGUGCACCUUUUGACGUUACCUAAUCAGAAACCCGCGGCUAACUACGU